rnacentral:misc_RNA from 1 species
AACCUAGCACACCUGCGGUGUGUACCUGCGGAGGGAUCAUUACCGAGUUUACAACUCCCAAACCCCUGUGAACAUACCUAUAAUUUGCCUCGGCGGACUCAACGACGGUGCUCCGAGAAAUCGGGCGCCGCUCGCUGCCAGAGGAACCCCAAACUCUAUGUAUUCUUGUGGAUCUUCUGAGUAAAACAAAACAAAUAAAUCAAAACUUUUAGCAAUGGAUCUCAGAUCGGAAGAGCACAC